rnacentral:lncRNA from 1 species
UACAAGUCCCCUGGUGAGAACUGGGCAAAGGUAUCCUUUGCUCCCAGCAACAGCCCUUCUCUGCGUAGAGUCAAGAGUGACCUUGCCUGGGCACCCUUGGGGGUCCUUGGUCUUUCAAGUGUUUUCAAGCUACAAUGAAAAGCUUAUGUUCCUUUAAAGAAUGCAACUUUUUUUUUCCCACCUGUCUACUGUAAUUGUACUUCGGCUCUUCUACCCUCAAGCUUCAAAAAAAAUUCAGUACCCUUUAUGGAAGAAGAGGAAGAAGAAGAAAAAAUGAUGCCCUUUCUAUCCUCUCAACAAACAUACUUGUGUUUGCUCUCCCGGAUAACAUCUCGUGGAAGAUAGUUAAGGAGCUUCCAUAUGUCAAGGCAUCCAGAAGUGAACCAGGAGCGAGGGCCUCCUUGGGGGAUGUUGCAAUCUAUAGGAAUAAAACGUUAUGAAAGAAAUCUCAGCCUGUUUGUGAUGAGUGUUUGAUACUUUUUUUUUCUCUGUGCUAGAAUUUAAGUUCCACAAGAGCAGGGGAGUUUUUUCUGCUUUGUUCAUUUCUG